UUGAACGCUGGCGGCAGGCCUAACACAUGCAAGUCGAGCGGUUGAGAGUAGCUUGCUACUUGAUGCAGCGGCGGACGGGUGAGUAACGCGUGGGAAUCUGCCCAGUAGUGGGGGACAACAGCCGGAAACGGCUGCUAAUACCGCAUACGCCCUACGGGGGAAAGGGGGGGAUCUUCGGACCUCUCGCUAUUGGAUGAGCCCGCGUCGGAUUAGCUAGUUGGUAGGGUAAAGGCCUACCAAGGCUACGAUCCGUAACUGGUCUGAGAGGAUGAUCAGUCACACUGGAACUGAGACACGGUCCAGACUCCUACGGGAGGCAGCAGUGGGGAAUAUUGGACAAUGGGGGAAACCCUGAUCCAGCCAUGCCGCGUGUGUGAAGAAGGCCUUAGGGUUGUAAAGCACUUCCAGUGGGGAGAAAGGUUUGUCACCUAAUACGUGAUGAAAUUGAUGUUACCCACAGAAGAAGCACCGGCUAACUCCGUGCCAGCCGCCGCAGUAAGAC
rnacentral:rRNA from 1 species